rnacentral:lncRNA from 1 species
CGCCCACAGCCCCGAGCACGUGCAGAGCGCCUCGCCACCGCCGCCUGCCGUGGAUCCGGCUGGCUGGGCCAGGCCUGCCAAAAGGAUCAGAUCCCAGCUUAGGGUAGGAGAGAGGACGCUUCCCUUUCCGGUAAUGCUGUUGGGGCAGAGGAGCCAACUCCAAGGGGUCGAGGGGCUUUCAGUCGCUCAAUAAAAUAUUUGGGGGGGGGCUGCAACCCUCACCCCCAAGUUGAUGAGCAUUGCCAUUCAAAUAGUGCGCGUGCACCGUGUCAUGUGGUCGAUUAUGCGGGGCUGGGUUUACCUGCCCCCACCCCAUUAAAAAAAAAAAAAUCAAGUUGGCACCCGUCCUGGGUAGGGGGCUUCUCUUGUGAGAAUGGAGCAGCGGAAGAGCCUUGUUGCUGGCCCGCCUAGGGCAGCAUCCUUUUCUCACAGCCAAAUGUUCUGAUGGAAAGCAGGAUCCGAGCAAUAAGAGCCCUUGCACCCUUCGCCGCCGCCCCCAAUAAAAUAUUUGAGGGGGACAGCUCUCCCUCCAGUUGAUGGGCCAGUUCAAAUGGGGGGGGGGUGUAAUCUUGUGAUUGAUUAUGCAGGGGAGGGCUUACCUGGCCUCCCCCAAUAUUUUACACAAGUUGGUACCCCUGCCCCAUAGGAGCCCACUGCUCGAGCCGAGGUCGCUUCAGCCCCUCCAAUAAAAUAUUUGAGGGGUCCAUCCUUCCCCGAGUUGAGGGGGAUUCCCAUUCAAAUGUGUGUGUGCGCGCCACAUUAUGUGAUUAUUUGGGACAGGGUUUAUUUUAACUGCCCCCACCCAAUAUUUAAUUCAAGUUUGCACCCCCCCCGUAGCCUUCCCUCUCUCCAUGAAUUUGCCUAAUCCUCUUUUUAAGCCAUCCAAGUUGGUGGUCAUCACUGCCUCCUGCAGUUUCAUAGUUUUAGCUGUACGCUGUGGGAAGAAAUACUUUCUUUUAACUAAUUGGCGAAGAGGGCCUUGGGUCUGAUGAAGAUCUAGGCCUCUGCUUAUGUGCUUAGAAGCUUGUCAGAGUCCCUCUCCCGCCAUCAUAUGGAGUUGAAGAUCUUUUUGGCUGUGGCUAUUCCAAAGGAUGGGACGUGGGUGGCGCUGUGGGUUAAACCACAGAGCCUAGGACUUGCCGAUCAGAAGGUCAGCGGUUCGAAUCCCCGCGACGGGGUGAGCUCCGGUUGCUCAGUCCCUGCUCCUGCCAACCUAGCAGUUCAAAAGCACGUCGAAAUGCAAGUAGAUAAAUAGGUACCGCUCCGGCGGGAAGGUAAACGGCGUUUCCGUGCGCUGCUCUGGUUCGCCAGAAGCGGCUUAGUCAUGCUGGCCACAUGACCCAGAAGCUGUACGCCGGCUCCCUCGGCCAGUAAAGCGAGAUGAGCGCCGCAACCCCAGAGUCGGCCAUGACUGGACCUAAUGGUCAGGGUUCCCUUACCUUUACCUUUAUUCCAAAGGAUGGGAUGACUUAUUUAUAUGUUCUCAACCCAGAACCUUUCUCUUCUCCUCUCCUGAGACCUAGGCAAAGGGUGGAGCAGAGCCCCCCCUUCACCGUGGCAUCACCUGGGCAGCCUACCUUGAGCCAUUCCAUUGUCUGCAGAGAGCGGGAUGUCUUUCAUGUGCUCAGCCCCAGCCAUGUGGCCCUCCUUUCCCAGAAACCCAGAGAGGAUUCCUGACGAAAAUAAACAGGCUUCAAAUGAAAGCGAG